CCGCACUUCCCGUGGGGUGGGGGCUGGAGGACGGCAGGCCCGCGGGGAGAGGGACCCGAGGCUCCAGCCCCGCCUAGCCAUGCGGGGCUCCCCCUACCACCACCACCAUUGUCCCCAGAGGCUGGGGGGGAGGGGGCUGCAGUGCUGAGAUCAGCCCCGCCCCACCCGCCGCCACGCAGGAAGCCUCGGGGGCCGCCCCUGCCUUCCCCCCGCGGAUCCCGACCCUGGCGGCGACCACCCCCACCCCACAAAAAACGGCAGGCGGGGCCGGGGGGCCCGGCUUACCGUGAUGUGCGGAAUGCUCUUCUUGCCCUGGCGCGGUGACAAAGGCCCGGGAGGGCAGAAGAGAG